ACCAGCACCGGGUGGACCUACAUC
rnacentral:siRNA from 1 species